rnacentral:lncRNA from 1 species
AGCAAACUCCAACAACACGCUCCACAAAGCAUGACUUGGAGAGAUUAUUUUAUUAUUCAUAUAAAGGACACCAUUUAUUAAUGUGUUUAGCUCUCUAAAGCAAUGAAGCAGCUGCUUUGUCAAGGUACCACAUUUGUUCGACUUGGGCAGUAAGAUGAGCAGCAGGUAAGGCGAGAUUGUUGUGCUUAAAGAUAUCAGCGAUGGAGCGUGCACAUUGCUCUGUGUUGUCGUCGCAAACGGCCACAAGAUUGUACAAAGACGAGUUGAUGACCGGUAAAGUCAAUGUGAUUCUCCUUGGUGGCGGUUUUGGGGAGUCGGUAAUGUGAGUGACCCAUUUGUCCGUCACAUUGAUCUGAGGACGUUCCGGGAAGAGAGACGCCAUGUGGCCAUCAGGACCCAUCCCUUGGAGCUGGAGAUCGAACUGAGGAAAUUGGCCAUUUGGACAUAGUGGGAGUAUCUUUUCCUUCACCAGGUUCCUCAAGCACUCCUCGUAGAGCGUCGCACAACGCUCCGCGUCACCAUCAGCGGCACAUUGUUUGUCGAUUGCGUAGAUGUUCUCCUUCGGAAUCCCAACCUAAAUACACGUGGUUAAAUUUUAACCAAACAAAAAUAUUUGAGGUUUUUUUGCACGGCUAUCAAUGGAUAUGAAUAAUGAAACCACUUGUUACGUGAUAAAUGAUAACUAAUCGAAAAUAUAAUAAUAACGAUGAUAAAACCUUGGAGAUAAAACCAUCCAUGGCGAGUUUGUAGUUGCUGUUUUGAUCUUCAUGUGAACAGACCCUCUCGUCCACCCAAAAGACGUGCCACUUUGACCAUUCGACUGAUUCUUUGUAUGGUGAUUCCAACAACUUGCUGCAACAAUUUAUUAGUUAAAGCAUCAUAUAUCACUAGAUUUGUCUUUAAGAAAAAAAAAAGAAAAGAAUAAGAGAGUGAAAUGGGGAAGAUAUUAAAUAUGUAUACCCGAGCCAAUCGAUGAGGCCACAGCCGGAGAGAACAACGGUGAAAAUUCCUUUCUCCUUGCAGAACUUGGCCGAGAGAUGAGCAGUGUACUUAGCCAAUGCUACCGACAAUUCAUUCUUGGUCGCAAACACCUCCCUCUUCCUCUGCGUAGUUUCUGCCAUCGUUGCCUAUAUUAAGAAUGUGUUUGUAAGUUGUUAAAAGAAGAAAUGUGUUUGUAAGUUGUUAAAACAAAAAAUGUGUUUGUAUAUAUUGUUAAGGAUUGGGGGUUUCUUGCUAUUUAUAGAGAUCGAGUGCUUCUAGGAGCUCGAUGUGACGUUUUAGUUAGCAACGUGAUUCUUAUGGCCGGAUCAAUCGAUUGGCUUCUCCAAGAGUGAAAUGGGGAAGAUAUUAAACUGGUCAAAUAUUGUCCUUCUCACUUUUUAGUAAUUACUUCUAAGCUUCUCCAAUAGAAUGUGCCCUCAAAACAGUUUCAGAAAUCAAAUAUUAAUUAUGCUUUUGUUUCAAGAUGUCCUCAGCUUGAAAUCAACAUAAUUCACGCAAGAUAUUAUUCACCAUUACAAUUGGUGGUGAUUUUUCCAAUAAAAGAAAAAAUAGAUAGCAAAAGUAGUCCAUUGUCCAUUAGACCAGUUCGUUCUCCUUUUACUAAAGUUCAGUGUUUUGAAAACCGGACCGGACGAACCAUAAUUCGCUCUUUUAACCAGUUUUAAGUUGUACUAAAAACUGGAUCUGAGUUAAACCAGAAAAUUUGGUAAAACCGGUGAUCCGGUUUAAUAUUAAAACUCGGUUUUCUCAAUUUAAGUUAAAAAUAUUUAAAAAUUGCAAUUUUUAAGAAUAUUUCACUAAAAAGAUAUUUUUAUUUUUAAAUAAAUUAGUUUUCAUUAUAUUUUUAUACUAUAUUUUAAGUUUUCAUUUUAUUUAUGUAUCAAUUUUAGUUAGAUUCUAGUAAUGAUAUAAAAUUUUAUAAAAAUAAUUUUAUAACUAUACAUAUAUAUUACAAUGCCGAGUAAAUGUCUCAUCCGGUUUUUAAAACAUUGCUAAAGUUUGUAAAAACAAAUUUCCCGUUUUGUUUCUUUUUUAUAUGGUUAAAGAAUCAUUAACAAAGAAGCACCUGGUGAAAGAAAUGUUAUCUCAAAUAAAUAUAAAUUGCUUAAAAAUGUAUCAAAAAUGUGAAGUUCUUGAGGAAUAUAAUUUCUGGCUAUAUUUUCUGAAGAUACGUACUAAGACUUUUGGAGGUUGACAUGGGUGUUACAUGAUAGUAAUUGAUGUUUGUGUCACACCAGUAGUAAGACAGUCGACCAGCUUGCAAAGAUGAUCGACAAAACUGUUCGGAAUCGUACUUCUACCAAAUACUCCACCAACCCAAGGUUACAUGGAUUGAUGAAUAGAUGGUUUGCGGCUCAUGUUUAAUACUCUAGCCGUUCCAUUAAAAUUCAGUGUUUAAACUCCUUAUAGCUGUAUAUAUAUAUUCUUUUGUGAUCAAUAAAUUUAAAAUUUUAUAAAAAAAAAAUUUGAUGUUUGUGUCUGCCUCGUCUGUUACAUUCUUGGUUUCUAUGUCUCUGUGUUUAGGAUAGUGAGUUGUAUGGGGUCGAACAUGACUCAAUCUGAUAUGGUAAAUUAGACCAACCGUGAAAGGGUAAUUCACGAAUUGACUGAUUCAUAUGAAACCAAGCCACUUUAAUUUUAUUUACCUAACGAAACUCCGCAUUAAUUGUUUUAAAAAAAAAUUAACCAACAAAAAUCCUUUUUACAUCUAAAGUUUUUUUUUUGUGAAAAAGGGCUUUUUACAACUAAAGUUGCUUGUGUUUGAGAUUUUUGAAUAUCUAAAAGAGAACUAUGUUGACAUGGCCUUCCGAGUUCCGAUGGACUGAGUCCUCGCUUGUUGUCAUGCUUGAGAUACGGUUUUUGACUUGGUUAUUGAUGAGUUUAACGAGACUUGCUGCUGAUUUGUGCAAUUCUCCAAAUUUUCUCCCAUUUCAUUCCUUCCAAAUGGUAUAUAAGGAGGCUUUAAAACAUAUCAGAGAAGAAACAACUCUACCUUGCUUCUCUGAUGAUUGGUACGGAGCAGCACUAUAUCUUCCCAUUGAUGAGUGUACUCGGUAGACAGUAGCUUAUAGGUGAGGCUUUUCCAACCUUCUGCAGAGUAUCGGCAUUGGUAGAAUAAAUGGUUUUGCAUGUUUUCUGGGUGAUUCAUACAUAAGUGGCACUGCACAGAGAUGAAGCAACACCACUCCACUGUGAUAUGCGGUCUCCAGUGGGAAGCAUGUUUGGAAUAGCAACCCAUACAGUAAAAGAGUACUUUGGAAUGUUGUGUUGGAACCAAACUCCGUAUUAAUUGUUAAUGUUGGUUACACUCAGUUUUCAUGUGAGGGUCCUGACGGGAGAUAAUAUGACUAUGAUAUUCAAAAAGAAAUGAUAAUCUGAAAAGACUUGAUACAUAUUUAAUAACUUUGAUCAUGAGAGUCUGGUGAAAAGGGGGAAAUAUGUAUAAACUAUUCAGUUUUUCUUGAUACCUGUAUUUUUUACAAAAUUAAUAAUUAUUCUACACAUAACCUGCACUGUAAUAAUAAAUUUAUUCUAUUGAAAUGUUAUAACUGCUUAGGUUAUAGAAAAAAAGAACGUGGUUAAAGUUAGUAUAUAAUUAGAAGUAGUUAUGAAAUAAUCAGUUUUUUUUUUAAAGUAACUCCAAAAUGGCAAAAUAAGUAAGGCCAUGUUUAUUACAUUCCCUUAGACAAGUAUUUUACUAUAAUUAAGAAUUAGGAAAAAAGAAAAAAAAACAGCUUUUAGCUAAGAGAUGGUAAGAAAUGUCCCUUAAAUAAGACACAUAAGAGCAUCCGCAAUGGUGAUCCCCAAUUAGGAGAUCUUAGAAAUAAAAAAUAAUAAUUUUUUUUUAAAUUGAAAUUGAAAUUUUAUUAAUUGCAUGAUUAAAAAUAAAUAUACCAGAAAAUAGAAGUUUAAAAAUGUAUAAGUUUAAAAAUUCAAUUUCAAUUUAAAAAAAAAAAAAUUUUAAGCUAAAAAUUUUCUAUUAGUUUUUUUUAUCUUAUGUAUAAGUUUAUCUUCUUAAAACUAUAGGUUUCAUUUAAUAUAAGUGUGAUAGAGUUUAAAAAUGUCUAUGAUACAAGUUUAAAAAUGUUUACAAGUCAAAUGUUUACAAGUCAUAGCCACCACGUAGACAAGGAUUUGAUCCUUAAAUUCCUUAUGUAAGGAUCAAUCCUUGUAUUAUGUUACUCAAAUAAUAGUUUUUUAAUCUGAUAAACAUUGGAUGUGGAGCUAAGGAUCCUUAACGGACUCCCAUUGCAGAUGGUCUAAGGACAUGAUUAUCGGCGUAUUUAAGUCAAAGUCCUUAGCAAAUUAUGUUUAAAAAUAAAUAAAUAAUAAUGAAAAAGACGGAGAACGUUAGUUAGUUAAGGGAUUUUUUCACCGCGUCCUUAUUGCUACGCGUCGUGACGUGAUAUGCUUUCAGGACGGUGAGGGUUAACCCCGGUUCGCGAUGGAAAUCCCUUUCAUCUUCUUCACUUCUUCUCUCUCGACUAUCGACGGCGAAAACCAUAGAUUGUUGUGGUUCUCCGACGAUUCAAGGCAAAAUCGAAGCCUUUCUCGUUGAUUUUGUCCAGUAGACACCGAUCUCCGCCGCGCCCCUUGUUCCUUUCUUCUCUCUCGACUCUUCACCGCGAUUCGAAUCGAAGCCUUUUCGUUGAUUUGGCCCAGUAGAUUCCGUCCUCCGCCGCGUCCCUUCUUCCCUGCUUCUCUCUUCCCUCUUGACGGCGAUUCAAAACGCCUCUGGUUCUCCGCCGAUUGGGAGUCUACGAAAUCUAAAGACCAAAAUAACUCCCACCAAUAAUCCAUGUUUUCUUUAAAAGUCCUUAAGAUUGUCCUUAACUACAAAUAACAUUAAAAAAAACACUAAGGACCUUCAAUCUAAAGACAUGGUUGCCCUAACGAACACCUCUUAGUGCUUUUACACUAUUUUACUUAAUUUUAUUAAUUAAAUAUUUAUUAAGAACCUAGUAAGGUCUUUCCCAAUAAUCAUACCCUUACCUUUCUUCCCACUUUUAAUUAUUAAUUUACGUAACUGCUUCUAAUUAUUAAUUUACGUCAUUGCAGAAACCCAAUAACCAACUUGCAUGCAUAAACUUUUUUUUUUUUUUUUGGUAAAAAUGUUAAAAUUCAUUACCAGAUUUUCAGUUUUUUACAGACAAACAGGGGAAACAAGAAGCAGAGUACAAAAUUAAUUCUAACAGAGACUCAUACCAACACAUAAACAAGACCUAAACUACAAGCAAAGCAACAUCACAGGAAGAAAGCAUCAAAGAUAAAGCCAUAACUUGCCGCAGAAUCGAACCCGCAGUUAACACGAGAUAUUGGACCCGGUAGAAUUGGGCGUACCCGGUGACCAAAUCUUAAAGAUCGGGAAGUCAAAAACAGCUCGCUAGGCCCACCUAAUCCACGGCCUUCAAGGACAGACCGCUACACCUGCAACCAAGGACACCGGCCGAGAGAAGAUCGAGCUUUAUUUGGAGAAGGAGCACCCAAAGCCACCACACUGCCAUCGAACCUGCACCGGAGAGACAAAGACAACAACCUCCACCCUAAGGCGGAUGUUCUCGAGACAGCCCUAGAUCAGCCCCAGAACCAUGUUGACUCCGCACGUGUUGCCACCGAAGAGCCUAGCUGCGGUUGACAAGACCAGCAACCAUUCUCGCCGCACACGCCCCCGCGACGGAGAACCCGUCGAAGACCAAACCAGCUUGGACACGAAGGCAACUCCGAGAAGCUCCUGAGAGAAAGUUGACCGGCCCAACAAGAACACCGCUAGAGACCAGACCAACAAGGGGAAGAAGCACCGCAGCUCCACCGUCAGAAGGGCUCCAAAACGCCUUCAGCCAAGCCAACUCACUCACCCAUCCGAGAAGACCGAGUAGAGAGGCAAGAGAUACAAGAAAAAUCCUGCAUCGAAAGCUCAGAUCUGACACCAGAUCGAAGCCCCCGCGACUCCACUCGCUCAAAGGAACCAACACAUCCACUCUUCUACCAUGCUUCACCGGGAUUCCAAGUCCGACGCGCCAGAUCUAUUCCGCACGGAGACGCGAAAACCCAGAACCACCGAGAAAGGAAACAAAGCAGAGGAGGGAGAGGAGCGGCGAAGGGAGAAAAGAGAAAAGAGGGGUGGGCGACCGGUGACUAUAGAGAAGGAGGAGCGCCGCCGGCCACCACGGCAAAGAACGAAAUAGGGUUUUGUUUUUUGAGAGGAUUUAGAGAGAGAGGGGAGUUAGAGAGUUUAUCUUGGAUGUUCUUCUUGCAUAUAGAAAAUUAUUGUUUUUCCUGCAUACAUAAACUUCACGAUGAAGAGGUAAAAAACAUAUAUAAUUUUUUAAGCUAUUUACAAAAAAUUAUACAGAAAAAAAUAAAACAAACAAUAUAUCAAGAUCUAGUUAUAUAUAAAUAAAAUUGUGUUCUCUACUCUCUUGCUCUUGCUCUGUUUCUCUCUACUUCUGUAUGCAGAGAAGCAUUUAUUAUAUAUACCAAGGUGGUAACUACAUUAAUUAUAAAUCCUAACUACUAAAAAUUUAGAGUUCGUACAAGAUAAAAUGAAUUAAUGAUUACAUCAACAACACAUAUCAGUCGGUUAUGAUUGGCCUCUAUCUCCAUACCUCUUUUCUAUGAAAAGAGAUGAUUAUCCGAACUCGAUGUCUAGCUUCUUUUUCAGCUUCCUCAUCCAUGAGGACUGGUUUUCAACGUCACUGUAUGUGACUUUUUCUAUGCUAUCCGACUCUGUUGUGAAUGCUACUUUGACACAUUCAGCAUCUGUCUCGAAUCUGCCGUCAUCUUCGGUAGAAGUAUUUGUUUAUUUUACAUUAUUGUAGUUUAUGGUUUCAAUUAAAGAGGAUGAAUAAUUCCCUUUUAUCAUUAUAAUCAAACAUGUUGAGGUUUAAUGAAAUUAAUUGUGUUCCAAAAAAAAAAUCUAAAAUAUUACCAUCUUUCAAGAAGUAGCGGUUUCGAAAACCUUACUAUUGUAACACAGGGUCAUAGCCUGUGACUCAAACACAAGAUACCUAACUAGACAUUAACAACAAAUCGGCGUUUCAAUACAUUGGUAUGUAAAAUACAUACGCAAAAAAUGUAUUAUUAGCCGGUUAUUUAACACGCAUGCAAUCCAAGCAAACUCCAACAACACGCUCCACAAAUCAUGACUUAGGGAGAUUAUUAUUCAUAUAAAGGACACCAUUAUUAAGGUGUUUGACUCUCUAAAGCAAUGAGGCAGCUGCUUUGUCAAGGUACCACAUAGUUUCGACAUGGGCAGUAAGAUGAGCAGCAGGUAAGGCGAGAUUGUUGUGCUUAAAGAUAUCAGCGAUGGAGCGUGGACACUGCUCUGUGUGGUCGUCGCAAACAGCCAUAAGAUUGUACGAAGCCGAGUUAAUGACCGGUAAAGUGAAUGUGAUUCUCCUAGGUGGCAGUUUUGGAGAGUCAGUAAUGUAAGUGACCCAUUUGUCCUUGACAUUGAUCUGUGGAUGUCCUGGGAAGAGAGACGCCAUGUGGCCAUCGGGACCCAUUCCUAGAAGCUGGAGAUCGAACUGAGGAUACUUGCCAUUUGGACAUAGUGGGAUUAUGUCUUGCUUCACCAGGUUCCUCAAACACUCCUCGUAGAGCGCCGCGCAGUGCUCCGCGUUACCAUCAGCGGCAUAGUGUUUGUCGAUUGCAUAGAUGUGCUCAUUCGGAAUCCCAACCUAAAUACACCCAAAAAAAUAAAAUUGUUUUAUAUGCAUUACGGAAUAACACAUAUAAAUAUAUAUACCACUUGUUAUAUGAUAAGUGAUAACUAAUCGAAAAAAUAGUAAAACCUUGGAGAGAAAACCAUCCAUGGCGAGUUUAUAGUUGCUGUCUGGAUCUUCAUAUGCACAAACCCUCUCAUCGACCCAAAAGACGUGCCACUUUGACCAUUCGAUUGAAUCUUUGUAAGGAGGUUCCAAUAGCUUGCUGCAACAUUUGAUUAAUCAAAACAUCAUAUAUUAUUAGAUUUUCCUAUUAAAAAAAAAGAAGAAGGAGAGUGAAAUAGGGAAGAUUUGUAGACCAGAGCCAGUCGAUGAGGCCACCGCCGGAGAGAACAACAGUGAAAAGGCCUUUCUCCUUACAGAACUUGGCCGAGAGAUGGGCAGUGUACUUAGCCAUUGCUACCGACAAUUCAUCCUUGGUCUGAAACACAUGCCACUUCCUGUGCCUAGCUUCUGUCAUUGUUACCUAUAAGAAAAGUUUCUUUGUAUAUGUUGUUAAUUAAGGAUUGGGGUUUCUUGCUUUUUAUAAAGAUCUAGUGGUUAUUGGAGCUGCUUGUGACUUUUGAGUUAGGUGGAAAGCGUGACUUUUUGUGGUGGAUUAUCACUGGACGUAUUGUCGUUCUCACUUUUGUUUUUUGUUUUUAUUUUCUACUAAUUACUUUUAUACGCUUCUGCUAGAGAAUAUGCUCUACAAACAGUUUGUGAAAUCAAAUGAUGGAUUAUGCUUUUUGUUUCAAAUCCUCAAAGCUGGAAAUCAACAUUGCAUUCCAGGUAAUUUCACACGAGAUACUAUUCACCAUUACAAUUUGUCACAAUUUUGUUUUUUAAAUAAUACGAAGCAGAAUCUUUAAUCUCUUUUACAGCUUACAUGUUGCAUUUUGUAUCAUAUGUCUAUAAGAAAAUAAAAGAAUGAGUUUUGUCCUCCUCAAAAUUCUCUAUCGUUCAAGUUCCCGACCGUUAUGGAAGGAGAAGUAGUUGAUAAGUCAUGGACCUGGUCAGAAGGGAUUAAUUCGAGGCCAAUCUACGAUAAAAUGAUUUUAAAGUGGCAUUGGACUUCUACCGGUGACAAACAGGAAAGAGCUCAUAGUACUUGACUACUGUCAUUUUUCAUGUGUUGGUUGGUUUAGUUUCUUCUUCCUCUUUAAUCUCGUGUCCUACUAUUUCAUAAAUGCCAUUUUUGUUUUGUCUUUUUUUUCUCUCUCUCACAUGUUUAACGAAUGUAACUUACUCUGCCAACAAAGUAGUUACAACAUAAAUUUACUUUGGAAAACGGAACUCUACUUUCUGAAUAUGUGAACUAGAUUCAAAGUUCUAACCACCAACUUCAAUUUUCUCUACUAUACUUUCUUCAUGUAAAACGUGUUCUCUACCGAACUCAGAAUUGUUGUUUACUUCGUUACACUCAGUUUUAACAUCUUACAUGAAUUGUGUUGCAGGGCAUAUGAAGUAUUUUUUUUAUUUCAUAUCUACUUUUAUUCUAUUUUGAAAAAAAAAAAAUUUGUGUUGGGUUGGAGAUGUCCUUAGGACCUUGAGCCAGUCCUGGCUGCAUAAUGUAAUAUGGGGAUGAAAAGUACACGUGAGAUAUUUUUUUUUGACGACCUACACGUGAGAUAUAUGUGUUGCACUGCAUCAUGUAAUAUGGUUCAAUCAACUGUGAAGCAACGUUUUUGUAAUAAUCGUAGUUGCCUAGUUGGUUGCUAAAUACGUUUUGUUUGGUCAAAGAAUUUCACUUAACCGCUUCGCUAUUGAUUCCUAGCAUUUCGGGAUGCACCAAACAACUUUGAGAAGUAUAAUCGAUUAUGCAAACCGAACCAAAAAAAUAACACCCCUCCAAGUUCCUCCUAUAACAUAUACUAGCUUAUGGAAAUGUGGUGGAGGACGAGGAAGGAUUAGUAGCCAUUACUACUAGUUAUUUCAGACAAAUUUUCGAAUCUGCAAAUCCGGAGGAUAUAGCAGAGGCGCUGAAAAAUGUCUCCACAACGAUAACAGGGACAAUAAAUGAGGAUCUUACAGCUCCAGUUACUGAAUGAGAAGUUAAAUUAGCGCUCUUUGCCAUGCACCCAGAGAAAGCACCAGGGCCAGAUGGGAUGACAGCUAUGUUCUAUCAGCAGUUUUGGGACAUUGUCAAAGAGGAUUUAACCCGUAUGGUUAAUCAAUUUCUUUUUGACGGAACAAUGGCCCAGGGGCUAAAUGAUACCAAUAUCUGCCUAAUUCCUAAAACGGAGAAGCCCAAUGAGAUGUCUAAGUUCAGACCGAUCAGCCUGUGCAAUGUCAGCUAUAAGAUUAUAUCUAAGGUCUUAUGCCAAAGAUUAAAGAAGGUUCUUCCCCAAAGAAUAUCUGAAACCCAGUCAGCCUUUGUUGCGGGUAGACAGAUAACUGACAAUAUAAUGAUAGCUCAGGAGAUGUUCCAUGCGCUUAGGACUAAGCCAGCUGGGAGAGUCAAGAGAAUGGCCAUCAAAACAGAUAUGAGUAAAGCAUAUGAUAGAAUGGAAUGGUCUUUCAUCGAGGCGGUUAUGCGGAAGAUGGGUUUCUCAGAGAUUUGGAUUAGCUGGAUUAUGCGAUGCAUUACCUCGGUUAAGUAUAAAGUCCUGAUGAAUGGGGAACCUAGGGGAAAUAUUGUUCCAGGGAGAGGUUUACGUCAAGGAGAUCCUUUGUCUCCUUUCAUAUUUAUUCUAUGCACGGAAGCGCUCGUUAGCCUUCUUAAUCAAGCAGAGAGUCAAGGGAAGAUAACGGGGAUGCGCGUUGCACGCGCUAGCCCCUCGGUAUCACACCUUCUCUUUGCUGAUGAUAGCCUUUUCUUCUGUAAGGCGGAGCCCCGUGAAUGUGAAGAAGUUAUGAAAGUAGUCAGGAAGUAUGGAAAAGCAUCAGGUCAAUGCAUUAAUUUUGAGAAGUCCUCAUUACUCUUUGGUAAGAGGGUCGCGGUGAAUGAUAGACAACAAAUCAAAGACACUCUCGGGAUUCAGAAUGAAGGGGGAAUGGGAAAGUAUCUGGGAAUACCAGAAGAUAUUAGCGGAUCCAAGUGCAAGCUUUUCGCUUUCCUAAAAGAAAAACUAUCACAUCGAGUGAACGGUUGGACAGGUAGGUGGCUAUCGAAAGGAGGAAAGGAAGUUCUGAUCAAAUCUAUUCUCUUAGCUCUUCCCACAUACGUAAUGUCAAGUUUCUUACUCCCUUUGGAGAUUUGUGAGAACCUUGCAAGUGCCAUUGCACAGUUUUGGUGGAGUUCAAACCCGCCAAAAAGAGGGAUUCACUGGGCUAAAUGCGAAAAGAUGUGUGCUCCUAGAGAGGAGGGUGGAGUGGGUUUCCGCAUGAUCCAUGAAUUUAAUCUAGCACUGCUAGCGAAACAACUCUGGCGCCUUGUUCCGUACCCCGAUUCAUUAGUAGCAAGAGUCCUCAAAGGGAAAUAUUACCGCCUCAGUUCGCCUUUGCGAAUCGCGGCGGUGGAUAACCCAUCCUACGUGUGGACGAGUAUAUCAGCAGCGAAGAAGCUUUUGCUUUUGGGUAUUAGGAGUAAAGUGCACUCAGGAUAUGAAAUCAAUGUCUGGCAGGAUCCGUGGAUUCCUUCGACGCCAGCUAGGCCGGCCCGCCCUAGGGUACCAGUCGUAAAUCCAAAGAUGCUUGUAAGUAGUCUUAUAAGUUCGGAAUCAAAGGAAUGGGAUGCUAGGAUACUGGCACAGUAUGUUGAGCAAGAGGAUAUACAGCUGAUUAUGAGUUUGGCCAUAAGCCCAACACAUCGCAGAGAUUCUUUCUGCUGGAGCUACACUAAAAACGGCCAAUACACGGUUAACUUCUUUCUUGUAAACACAAUUGAUCCAUCGAUGAAUACAUAAAUAGAUUGAAAGAUGGAUCCGACUAAAUGGUGUAUUACUUGGCAUAUGUUAUGAGCAUUUUGGUUUUGCUGAAUAUUAAACACUCGAAGGAGGAGUGGAUUGAGGAUAGAGGAAUGGAUAAAACAGGUGCAACUUGCAUUAGGGAAGCUAACUCUUGAUAACUACUGCUCUAGAAUGCUCUGCUGAGAAACAAAGAAAAAAACUAAUGGUGAGUGCAAAGAAGUGCACAUAGUAAAAAGAAAAAAAAUGAGCUUUGUUAGCUUAGUGUUAAACUCUUCUAGGACAGUUCCAGAGACAUAUCAUUUAGUUCUUUUAGAAAAGCUCCAGGGACAUGCUUGGCAUUUAGCUCUUUGAUCCAAUCUAUCAGCACAAUUUUCGGUGAUAUCAUUACAUAUUAAUUAUAGUUAUCCAAUGUUUCUCAAUUUAAUGCUAUGAACUAGAGUUGUAAAUCAUUUCUUGUGUAUUCAUGUUUUUCCAGCAAUGUCAUACAACACAAUAGUUAUGCGCAUUUCUCUAAAUCAUGGAAUCAUCUUAUAUUCUGUCCACCCUUUGAAAAUAAUGAUAAUACAAAACAACGUCUCUGACGUUGAUCAUUGUUUGUAGACAAUACAAAUCUCUAGCAAUUACCAUCACUAUGUCUUCUCUCUUGACUAGUACUUAGACUAAGCUUCCACUCUACAUACCCUAAAUAACAAUUGAAUUUACAAACCCUUGUAAAUUAUUUAAUAAAUCCUUAUAAAUAAUUUCAAUACUAAAGUCUCAAUACCCGUAGUCUUUAAUUAAUUCGUAAACCCAAUUCCUAAAAUUUCAAAACACAGAAUCAAAUUGCAUACUCAUCUCUAAUCAAUCGUUUACCUUCUUCAGAUUGAUGAAUAUUCUGAAUCUCAAUAUUGCAAUAAAUCGUAAUCCCCAAACCUUAAUAGAUUUCAAUGGUAAAAACUCAGAUUCUACAAUCUCCUCGAACCUGUGAAGUGAUCAAAGAUGAUCUGAUGCCAAAGGAAGAUAAUCUAUAGCUUCAACUUAUAGCCAUUCUUCGUAAUUUCGCAAAUAAACUCCACCAUGAUUUUACAGUACAGGAGGAUUAUCAUCAUCGCCGCAUCGGAAAAAUUUCGAAAAUAAUUGUAACUGAAACCCAAAUUUAUAAGGGGUAUAUUUUUCUUAAAGCAGUGUUCACUAUCAGACUCUUUUCUUUUAUAUGUAUAUAUUCAAAGAUCAAGUCAAAAUCAACCCUAUGUGGUAUUCGUAAUAAAAUCCUAAAAUUACUUGAAACCUAGAUUUACAAAGGGUUAUAAAUUUUCAAAAACUCAAUGUUCACUAUCGAAACUCUUUCUCUUAGAUCCGACUAUUAAUAGGUAACUCUUUCUCUUAGAUCGAAACCACAAAAUCCGAGAAAAUUACUUACAACUACUUGUGAUUCUUUCUGAGGAUUCAACAUUUUGAGGUUUCGAGUCUGGAUCUCGUCUGCUUCAUGAGAGAGAAUACACUCGAUCUCGUCGCCGUCGCUCGAUCUCGUUUCCGUUGUUCAAUCUCAUUGCCGUUCUCGAUCUCGUCGACGUCGUCUUCGCUCGCUCUCGUUGAGUUGCCGUCGCUCAAUCUCGUCGACGUCGUCUUCGCUCGAUCUCGUCGCCGUCGCUCGAUUAGAAUUGUGAGAGGGUUAUUUUUGUCUUUUGCCUAUUAAUAAUUUAAGUAUUUCUUAAAAUAUCCUCCUUCUUAGUGUAUAUAUGAAAAGUGAUACCAAAGAAAGUGUAAAAGUAAAAUUUCUCCAAGAAUAAUUUGCAAUGUUAAUUUUAUAACUAGGCUUCUACCCGCGCUAAAGGCAAAAAAAUUUCUUUUUCAUUUGAAUAUUAAAAUUUUAUAUAAGAAAUAAUAUAUUAAAAAUGGAAAAUUUUAAUUGCAUUAUAUUUAUAAUAGUUUGGGCUGUGUGAAGAAUAAUAUUUUUAAUUGUAAAAAUAUAUUUACGGAAAUGAUUACUUUUACCCCAUUUAUAAUGCAAGAUCAUCAUUUAAGAUAAUCUUAAAAUUUUAAUUAAAAAUAAUUUUAUAAAAAAUGUUAUGCAAUGUAAGUUUAAAUGUAUAGUUGAUUUAAAAUAAUUUUAUUUUAUUAUUUAGAAAACAACAUAUGUUAAAUAUAGAACUAAUUUGUGUAGAUUUAUAUAUUAUACAGCUAAGUGUUCUAUUGAGAAGAAGAAGUAUGUGCAAAAAAAUAUAGUCAUAUCAUCUUAAAUGUAUCUACUUAUAGAUUUAUUUAUAUUUAUUUAUUUCAUUUUGGAAAUAUGUAUUUUUUAUCUCCUACAUAUUCCCCUUUUUAAUUAUAUGUUUAAAAGAAGAAUUAUUAACUAAUUUUGAAAAAAAAUUUAAUGUUUUUUUUGAAUUAUGGCUUUGUUUAUUUUAUUUUUACUUGGAUUAUUUUAACGUGUGAAUAAUUUAGAUUUAAAAAAACAAUAUUCUAAAGUUAUUUUAUAUUUAGUUUUGAAAUGGUCAUUCGAUUUUUCCAUCUAAAUUUGAAUUUCAAAUUUUGCCGCAAGUUUAAUACCUUUUUCAAAUUUUCUCUUAAAAUAACUAUUUCAAAAAUAAUUUAAAUUUAUGAUAAAAGUAUUAUGUUAACUCUCCUAAAUCAUUUAUAAAAUUUUAAAAUAAUUUUUUAAAACAUUUGAAGAAGUUAAAAAUUCCAACUCCACCCCAUUAAUAGUAAAGCCUAAACAAUAGUAACUAAGCCCAAAUGUUAAGAUAUUUUUGAAUGAAUAUAUUUUCAAAAACUGGAAGCCAAUUGAGAGUAUUUCAGGUAAUUUUUCAUGUUUUUUGAAUUUUUUUCAUGUUUACCAUAUAGGACAAUAAAUGAGGAUCUUACAGCUCCAGUUACUGAAUGGGAAGUUAAAUUAGCGCUCUUUGCCAUGCACCCAGAGAAAGCACCAGGGCCAGAUGGGAUGACAGCUAUGUUCUAUCAGCAAUUUUGGGACAUUGUCAAAGAGGAUUUAACCCGUAUGGUUAAUCAAUUUCUUUUUGACGGAACAAUGGCUCUGGGGCUAAAUGAUACCAAUAUCUGCCUAAUUCCUAAAACGGAGAAGCCCAAUGAAAUGUCUAAGUUCAGACCGAUCAGCAUGUGCAAUGUCAGCUAUAAGAUUAUAUCUAAGGUCUUAUGCCAAAGAUUAAAGAAGGUUCUUCCCCAAAGAAUAUCUGAAACCCAGUCAGCCUUUGUUGCGGGUAGACAGAUAACUGACAAUAUAAUGAUAGCUCAGGAGAUGUUCCAUGCGCUUAGGACUAAGCCAGCUGGGAGAGUCAAGAGAAUGGCCAUCAAAACAGAUAUGAGUAAAGCAUAUGAUAGAAUGGAAUGGUCUUUCAUCGAGGCGGUUAUGCGGAAGAUGGGUUUCUCAGAGAUUUGGAUUGGCUGGAUUAUGCGAUGCAUUACCUCGGUUAAGUAUAAAGUCCUGAUGAAUGGGGAACCUAGGGGAAAUAUUGUUCCAGGGAGAGGUUUACGUCAAGGAGAUCCUUUGUCUCCUUUCAUAUUUAUUCUAUGCACGGAAGCGCUCGUUAGCCUUCUUAAUCAAGCAGAGAGUCAAGGGAAGAUAACGGGGAUGCGCGUUGCACGCGCUAGCCCCUCGGUAUCACACCUUCUCUUUGCUGAUGAUAGCCUUUUCUUCUGUAAGGCGGAGCCCCGUGAAUGUGAAGAAGUUAUGAAAGUAGUCAGGAAGUAUGGAAAAGCAUCAGGUCAAUGCAUUAAUUUUGAGAAGUCCUCAUUACUCUUUGGUAAGAGGGUCGCAGUGAAUGAUAGACAACAAAUCAAAGACACUCUCGGGAUUCAGAAUGAAGGGGGAAUGGGAAAGUAUCUGGGAAUACCAGAAGAUAUUAGCGGAUCCAAGUGCAAGCUUUUCGCUUUCCUAAAAGAAAAACUUUCACAUCGAGUGAACGGUUGGACAGGCAGGUGGCUAUCGAAAGGAGGAAAGGAAGUUCUGAUCAAAUCUAUUCUCUUAGCUCUUCCCACAUACGUAAUGUCAAGUUUCUUACUCCCUUUGGAGAUUUGUGAGAACCUUGCAAGUGCCAUUGCACAGUUUUGGUGGAGUUCAAACCCGCCAAAAAGAGGGAUUCACUGGGCUAAAUGGGAAAAGAUGUGUGCUCCAGAGAGGAGGGUGGAGUGGGUUUCCGCAUGAUCCAUGAAUUUAAUCUAGCACUGCUAGCGAAACAACUCUGGCGCCUUGUUCCGUACCCCGAUUCAUUAGUAGCAAGAGUCCUCAAAGGGAAAUAUUACCGCCUCAGUUCGCCUUUGCGAAUCGCGGCGGUGGAUAACCCAUCCUACGUGUGGACGAGUAUAUCAGCAGCGAAGAAGCUUUUGCUUUUGGGUAUUAGGAGUAAAGUGCACUCAGGAUACGAAAUCAAUGUCUGGCAGGAUCCGUGGAUUCCUUCGACGCCAGCUAGGCCGGCCCGCCCUAGGGUACCAGUCGUAAAUCCAAAGAUGCUUGUAAGUAGUCUUAUAAGUUCGGAAUCAAAGGAAUGGGAUGCUAGGAUACUGGCACAGUAUGUUGAGCAAGAGGAUAUACAGCUGAUUAUGAGUUUGGCCAUAAGCCCAACACAUCGCAGAGAUUCUUUCUGCUGGAGCUACACUAAAAACGGCCAAUACACGGUUAAGUCUGGGUAUUGGGUUGCUACAAAUAUAUUGGAUGCGGAGGAGGAAGCUGAAGUCAAACAACCUAGCAUCGCUGAACUUCAAGCCUUUGCUUGGAAAGUGAACGCACCUCAGAAAAUUCGUCAUCUUAUAUGGCAAUUAAUUUCGGGACAGGUAGCAGUAACAAGGAACUUAAUACGUCGUAAUCUGCGGUGUGAUGAUUACUGCCCAAGAUGUGGAGAGCCGAGAAAAAUGUAACCCAUGCGAUCUUUGAAUGUCCCCCAGCGUUACAAGUAUGGGAGCUAUCAUCUACGCCGUCAAACCACCAAACUUUCCCCAUAUCGAGUAUGUAUGCCAAUAUGGACUACCUUUUCUGGAGGAAAAAUACAAUUAGAAGGCCAGAAGAUGAUAGAGACCCUUAUCCCUGGAUAAUCUGGUACAUCUGGAAGGCGAGGAAUGAUAAGCUAUUCAGGGGGAUUGACAGGGACUCUCUGGAACUGGUCAGGUAUGCAGAGAGUGAAUGUCAGGCUUGGUAUAAUGCUAAGGAGUCUAUACCUAAUCCCCCUCAGGCACCAAACACUGAAGUGAUACAAGCCUUAAGCUUGAAUAAUAUGUGCAUGGUGGAUGGCUCUUGGACAUCCACAGAUCUAUUCAGUGGAAUUGGUUGGGUAUGGAAAGAUAAUACGGGAAAGAUCCAACUUAUGGGAACACGGAAUUUGAGGAGGCGGGAGACAGCACUACACUCGGAAUUGGAAGCAUUAAAAUGGGCAUUCGAAAGCAUGCUUCAACAUUCAAACUGCCAACACUUUGGUACAGAUUGCAAGGACCUGAUAGCUAUGAUAAACGAACCCCAAGCCUGGCCAAAGUUUUCAACGGAGCUGGAAGCCAUUCAAAUCAUCCUCAUGUGUUAUUCGGACUUCAAGAUCACCUACGUGCCAAGAACACAGAAUGAAAUUGCUGAUUCUUUAUCUAGGAAUGCUCGAUCUUUUCAUAGAUCUCUUUGUUUUAUUGGUUGUUCUAUUCCGGUCUGGCUACCCAGACCACCUCAUGUUUGAGUAAUAGAAUAGCCGUUUGUUGACAAAAAAAAAACAUAUACUAGCUUAAUUUUGAUUUAGGUGAUGAUUGUUUCAGUUUUUAGUUUUAGUUUUUGGUUUUAAGAUUUUGGUUUUUAGUUUGGUUUUCAACUUUUGGUUUUUGGUUUAAAUUAGUAAAUUAUAUUAACAUUUUAAGCUGCCACGUAAGUUAUAUUGACAUCUUAAUUUUUAAGCUGUCACGUAAUUUAUAUUGACAUCUUAAUUAAAUGAUACAUACGCAUGAUCUUUUUUUUUAAUUAGUACAAACUUAAAGUUACAAUUUUUUAAAUGUUCCUCAAUUAAUAUAUAGGGGAUUCCCUAGCCAUUUAAUUUAGAUUAACAAAAUUCUCAAUUGAUUUUCAAGUCAUCACGUAAACAAAUUAACAUUCCAAUUACAUGAUGAUAUAUAUGGACCAACAUAUUUUUCUAAAGAUUCUAAGAAUGGUUGUGGUGAUGAAAUGUAGAUACAAAAAUAUGUUAUAAUAUUUCUCUUUUAAUACAUAGAGGAUAUACAAAAUGAAUGACAUGUGUCUUUGUACAAGGUGUUCAAAAAAAAAGUAUCUUUAUACAAAAAUUUAUUAUAAACGACCAUGCAUUUUAUGUAACUAAAAGUUUCAUAUGUUUCAUAAACUUCUGAAAGUUGUAAUUCAUGUGUCUCUAUUCUUUUCAUUUACUACAAAUCGUGUAAAAUAUGUUUUCUUAUAUACAAAUAAAAAUCUCUCAUGGAUAUGGUCAUAUCUGAUAUGACCAUACUCGACCAUUCAUCUCAUUUACUAACAGGGUGAUGACUUUUAAAUAAAUUUCCUCCAGUCAUUUUUCAUGUGUCAAGAACUUUUUUUUCUAAAUGUCAUGAACUAUUUGUUAAAUCGUAUUAGCCUUAUUUGAAUUUCUGCUCUAUUUUUAUUAUAGGAUUGCAUCUUUAUAUAUUAAAACACAUAUGGCAUUUGGAGAAGAUGAAGAUGGGUGUGUUCAAAAUAUCACCUAAAAUAUUAGUCGUUUGUUAAAAAAAAAUCAUAAUAUUAUAGUGAUUGUAACAAUAUUUGGAAAACAUUUUGAAAAAAAAACUAUCAAGGAAAAUCUAUUCCAAUAUUAAGCAAUAUUAUUCAAAAAAAGAUUAAGGAUUAUACCCGCAACAAUAUUGGUUGCACAUUUAAAACAUCAUAAUAUUGUAAUCCUAUAAUUUAGUGAUUGUAAUCAUUAUUGGAAACAAAGUAAUGGAAUAUACGGGAUAUCUAUUCUAAUAUAAAUAAGUAUCAUUCAUCAUAUAUCAUUGUUUUGUCUCUGAUCUUAUAAUUCACAAUCACGUAAUUGUAAGGAAACAAUUGAUUUGUUGAAUCAUAUGACCUUCUUCUUUGAUUCGCCCUUAAAUAUAUCGAGCAUCUAUAAGCUUGAUCUUCACUGAGUUUCAACAUCGUAUGAGUCGAUUAAUCUACCCCUUAUUAUUGUGUUUCAUUUUCAUAACCUGAUGUCUCAAGCAACAUGCACCAAUCUUAAGAACUGAUUCACCGAUUGAAUUUGAUGAGUUAGAGGAGCACAGUUUUGGCUUUAACAGAAAAAAAUCUAGAGUUGACCUGAUUUACCUUUGCUCAAAAGUAACUUUAUGGAUUAACUAAUUAAACUCAAAAGCUAACUAUAUGAAACCCAAUAUAUAUUUUCUAGAUAGACCUUUUUAUUUUAACAAAAUUAUGUUCACGAUAUUUUUUUUCUUUGUAAACACAAUAUGUUUCAAAUAUAGCCCAAAAUUAUUUUUGUCUUUUAUUAUUUCUGAAUUUUAAUUAAAAUGUUACAAAAUGUUAGAACUAAAAGAAUAUAAAAUAAUGAUGUCUCUGUAUAAAACUGAAACAUAACCAAUACAAAGCUAUGAAUUUUGUUUUUAAUUUUAAUAGAUGUAUUAAUUUACACAAACAAUCCAAAUUGUAUGCUUUAUAAAAAAAAUACACUUGAAAAAUGGUAAAUUUGUAAAACAAAUGCCAAAUACCAAAUGAUUUAUCUAACAUACAACUUUAGUUAUUUGAACAUAAAUAACUCGUAUCAACAAAUACAAAAAUAAACAUUUAAAAUACAUGAAACAACCAUAAUUUUGAAACAUAAAAAAUAAAAGAACACCACGCGGUUGCGCAGCUCUAGUUAAAGCUUCUUUAGUUACACUCAAAAGGGUUUAUAUUUUGUAGUUUGUUUAUUUAAUUCGGGAUUUAUAUUUCGUACAUUAGGAAACUUUUUUUUUGCAAAAGAUUAGGAAACUAUUUAGUAAUUGUUUUCUUCAUUUCAUUUUCCCAGAGGACUUUGAUUUUAGGUUUUUAUAAUAGAGAUGCAGCUUGGUUGUAAGACUCAUCUAAGCUAGAUAACUUGAAGGGUUUAGCUGUAUUAAAUCAGUGAUCAGCAUACUGGAUAUAUGUUCACAAAUCAAAGACAAUGCUAUAGCUAUAGCUUUAUCUAUCUUAUUAAAACUCAAGUACAAAAUUGGAGUGUUUGGAGACUUGAAUAGGACUUUUAAAAAUUUGGAGUGUUUGGAAACAUGGAUUGCAGUCUUUAAAAAAAAAAAUAUUUUUGUUUGAAAACAAGGAUAGUAGUAUUAAGAAAAAAAGUAAUGGGCUUAUGUUUUUUUAAAAAAUUGAAAGUUAUCUAGGCCACUUUUAAAAUAUACCAAAAUGGGUCAAUCUAAUUCCCUAAAAUUUUUUUUUCUAAACUAACCAUAAAACAAAAUUUAAACUUUAUAUACAUAUUUCAAAUCAAAAUAAUAAUUCAAAUUUGAUUUAUAUCAAAAAUUGAUUCAAAAAUAUACAUAUAUUCAAAAAUGGAUUUUUACUAAACUAUUUUUCAAUAACCAUUAUAAAAAAAUAUUGUCAAUAUAUAUAAGAAAAAUAUAAUACAAAGCCCAAUUUGAAAUACCAACUCAAAUUAUGGUUUUCAUAUUUCAUAUUAAGUUUUAAAAAUAUAAUAUAUGUAAUUAUUUAUAUGAUGGUAUGUAUAAAAUACUAUUAAUUAUAUGAUUACUUAUAUGAUGGUACAUAUAAAAUACGAUUAAUUAUAUGAUGAUAAAAUACGAUAUAUAAUAAUGACUAGGGAUGGGCUUUUGGAUACCCAUACGGGUUUAGUUCUGAUCGGUUUGUAUUUUGGGUUUUCGGGGUCAAAGAUUUCAGCCUUAUUAGAAUGUUUCUAAAUUUUGGUUUGAGUUCGAUUUGGAUCUUUGCGGGUUUGGUUUGGGUUUGGAUAACUAAUUUAAAUUAUUUUUAAAGUCUUAAAUCAUUAUAUAUUUUAAAUUUCUCAAAAUGUAUAAAUAAAAUAAUAUAUUACGUAUAAAUUUGAAUAACAUAUGUCAUAAUACUUAAGCUUAACAUAUCAAUUGGCUUGAUUUAAAAUUUUGGAUACGAAAUCAAUAAUUAUUUUAAGUAUUUUUGGUGAUUUGAGUAUACUUUAACUAUUUCAGAUAUUUACUUUUGACUAUCUAUAUAUAUUUUCAAGUAUUUAAACCAAUUUAAAAGUAUCAUUUUUGAUGUUUUAUAUACGUUAAAUCUAAAAAUAAUUAAUAUAUAUAAGUAUAUAAAUCUAUUUUUAGAUAAAUUCGGAUACCCAAAUACUUCGGUUCGGAUCAGAUUCGGUUCUCUAAAUAACAAAAUUUUGAAUAAUUAGAAUAUUUAAUCAAUUUAUGUUUGGGUUUGGUACUAUAUCUUUGGAUCGGUAUCGGUUAUGUUCCUCGGAUUCAUUUUUCCAAAUCCUAAUAAUUACAUGAAAAAUAAAUAUCAACAUAUUUUUCAAAAUAUAUACCCGCGCGCCUGCGCGGGUCAAAAUCUAGUUUAUUAUUAUUAUAGCACAACAUCACAGACUCAAACAAGUUACACAACUAGAGAGAAACAACAAAUCGGCGUUUCGAUAGAUUUGGUACAUAACAUAUGUACGCAAAAUGCAUUAUUAUUAGCCGGUUAUUCAACACAAAUGCAUGCAAACAGCAACAGCUCGAUCGGUCCACAAAGCAGCAAAGAGAGAUUAUUAUUCAUAUAAAGGACACCAAUAUGAAGGUGUUUGACUCUCUAAAGCUUCGAGGCAGCUGCUUGGUCGAGGUACCACAUUUCUUCGACUUGAGCAGUAAGAUUAGCAGCAGGUAAGGCGAGAUUGUUGUUCUUAAAGAUCUCAGCAAUGGAACGUGGACAUUGCUCUGUGUGGUCGUCGCAAACGGCCAUGAGAUUGUACAAAGCCGAGUUGAUGACCGGUAAAGUGAAUGUGAUUCUUUUUCGUGGCGGUUUUGGAGAGUCGGUGAUGUAAGUGACCCAUUUGUCAAUCACAUGGAUCUGAGGAUGUCCAGGAAAGAGAGACGCCAUGUGGCCAUCAGGACCCAUCCCUAGAAGCUGGAGAUCGAACUGAGGAUAUUGAUACUUGCCAUAUGUACAUAGUGGAAGUAUGUUUUGCUUCACCAGUUUCCUCAAGCACUCCUCGUAGAGCAUCGCGCAGUUCUCCGCGUCACCAUCAGCUGCAUAGUGUUUGUCGAUAGCGUAGAUGUUCUCAUUUGGAAUCCCAACCUAAAUUAAGUUUACCCAAAAAAUAAAAUCUCUCUAGUAUAUAUAACCAAAAAAAACGAUUUGCGUUUUUUUACAUGGUCAUCAGUUGAUAUGCAUAAUGAAAUAAUAUAUACCACUUGUUAUGUGAUACGUGAUAACAAAUCGAAGAUAUUAAUAACAACAAUAAUAAAACCUUGGAGAGAAACCCAUCCAUGGCGAGUUUGUAGUUGCUGUCUGGAUCUUCAUAUGAACAAACCCUCUCGUCCACCCAAAAGACGUGCCACUUUGACCAUUCGACACUAUCUAUGUAAGGAGGUUCCAACAACUUGCUGCAACAUUUGAUUAAUUAAAGCAUCAUAUAUAUUUUUUUUUUUUGAUCAACCAAACAUUUCAUUAAAACUGAGAAACUAAGAGUUCGAGGCAUACAAAGCAGAUUUAGCCAGAGCAUCCGCAGCAGAAUUAAAGAUCCUAGGGACAUAGGUAAACACAAUAGUAGAGAAGGAUGAAGAUAGAUUUUCGAUAUCCAAGUUGAUUCCGUAGAGUUCCACCGGAUGUUGAUUCGAAUUUAGCGCUUUGAUGAGCACCUGAUUAUCUGAUUUGAGGCAGAUAUUGGGUAGAUGAAGAGCUUUGGCUUGUAGCAGGGCUUCUCGCACAGCUAGAGCUUCAGCCAUCAAGGGGGAUGCAACGAACCGUUCUGUUGAGACGCCUUGUCUUGUUUCUUCCGGGCGUAAGGUCUGGAUGAUCCAGCCACAGCCUGCGCGUCUAUCUUGUGCUCUCCAAGCCGCGUCCGUAUACAGAGGUGCAUAUUCAGUCGAUGUAUAGCCGUUGUGGUUGUGUUGUGUACAUGUUUCGUUGACCUUAAGGGGUUGUGCCUGCUGCCACUCACGUGCUAGUCUUAGGGCGUUGGAGGUGAUAUCUUCUGGGCUAAGAUUGCGGUUCUCGAAGACCAGUUGAUUUCUUGCGGUCCAAAUGCACCAGCAAACCCAAGAGAAGAUGUUAACAUAGACGCCCGUAGGUGGAAGGCAAACCAGGGAAGACGAUGAUUCUAGCGUGGUAGCGAAGGUAACCGUUGCUCGAAGGUCGAGCGGUCUCGUGGUUGGGAGAUUGUUCCAAACUCUCUUAGCGUAGCGACAAUGCAGGAAUAGGUGGUCCGCAGAUUCAGGUUCACCGCACCGUGCACACGUUACUGGAUGCGUCAAAAUUCCUCUUCUUUGCAGAGCCACGCCCAAAGGUAGAGCAUCUUGGAAAACCUUCCAGAGGAAAACUUGGAUUUUUGGAGCCGUUUUAACAGCCCAAAUGCUCUUGAUCCAGUUGAAGUUCUGAAGGCGAUCAGGAAGUUGAUGGUUCUGCAUAUCCUCCUCAGCCUCUUGGUGUUUGACCGCUUCGAAGUACCCCGACUUUGUGGAGUAAGUUCCAGAUACAUUGAGUGGCCAGAAAAACUUAUCUUCAGCUCCAAAACGGCUUGGUCUCAUGCAGAAGAUAUUGUCUGCGUAUGAGGGUAGUAGACUACGAACCUUCGGUUGGUUCCAAUCAUUAGUUCCCCGGAGGAGAAGGUCAGAGACAUACAUAUCGAGUUCAUCUUCCCUUGCUGGUCCUAUAGGCCUGACGAGCUCACCAGUCUUAAUCCAUGCAUCCUUCCAGAUUCUAGUGGUGUUUCCAUCUCCUAUCGCUUUGCCGACGCUCGGUGCUAGUAGGUCUCUUCCAUGCAGGAUACCACGCCAACCAUGGGAGCAAGCUGCCGAUUCCUUAACUGUGAGGAAGGAGGCUUUGUGAUAAUACUUCCCUCUUAACACCCGAGAGAGAAGACACUCCGGUUUUGUAAGUACUCGCCAAGAUUGCUUAGCUAGAAGGGCUUUGUUGAAAAGCUGAAUGUCCCGAAAACCCAACCCUCCUAGUUUCUUCGGUUUUGCCCUUUUAGUCCAAGAUGUCCAGCACAUCUUUCUCUUAUUAUCAUUCCCAUCCCACCAAAACCGCGUUAACACAGACUGGAUCCUCUUACACAGGCUCAUGGGUAACUCAAAGCAAGACAUGGCAUGUGUUGGAGAUGCUGACAAGACCGCCUUCAGCAUAGUCAACUUGCCCGCACUUGACAAGAACCGGGUUGACCAGCCGCUCGCCUGUUGUCUAAUCCUAUCAACAAUCGACGAGAAUAAGUCCCUUUUCCGCCGGCCAAAGUGCUCGGGUAGACCAAGAUACUUUCCCACUCCUCCUUCUCUUGCAAUACCAAGGUGAGAUUUGACUCUAGCUCGAGUCUCCUGGGUUGUUUUUGCCGAGAAGGUAAUGGAUGAUUUGUUUGUGUUGAUCGUUUGCCCGGAGGCCGCUUUGUACUUCUGUAAGAUCAGGUGGAGGGUGUUGCAGCUCUUCUCAUCAGAUUGCAUAAAAAACAUUGUGUCGUCCGCAAAUAAGAGGUGGUUUAUACGAGGGGCUCCUCUAGCAACUCUAAUCCCAGACAACAGCCCUGCUUCUUGUCCUCUCUUACACAGUCUUGAUAAGACUUCACUGCAGAGUAUGAAGAGGUAGGGUGAGAGCGGAUCGCCUUGUCUGAUCCCCCUUGAAGGAACCACUGAUCCCUGGACCGAGUCGUUCACCAAGUACGAGUAAGAGACCGUCCGUAUGUAGGUCAUAAUUCUCGAAACCCAGAUGCUAUGGAAUCCUAGUCGUUCCAAAACAAGCUGAAUGAAGUCCCAUUCAAGCCGAUCAUAGGCUUUACUCAUGUCUGUCUUUACUGCCAUAGAGCACCUUUUCACAGCAUUGGAAGUCUUGAGAUAAUGUAGAGUCUCAUGUGUAAUGAGCACAUUGUCCGAGAUCGCUCGUCCUGGUACAAACGCAGACUGAGUUUCCGAGAUAAUCCCAUGUAGAAUCGGCUUAAGUCGUAGAGUGAGGAUCUUCGAGAUCAGAUUAUAAACCACGUUACAUAGAGCGAUGGGUCUGUACUCUGAAACCAGCUUCGGACUCUGAACUUUCGGUAUGAGUCUCACAUGAGUCUCAUUAAUGUGCGCUGAGAGUGAACCAUUCCUGAAGAAGUCUUGUGUUUCCUUGGCGAUGAUAGGCCCAACCGUUGCCCAAUUUGAUUGAAAGAAGCAAGCUGAGAACCCAUCGGGCCCGGGCGCUUUAUCCGGAUGGAUCGAGAACAUAGCAAUUCGUAUCUCCUCGAGUGAUGGUAUUUUGAUCAGUCCUUCAUUAGUCUCCUCUGAGAUGCACGGGCGUAGCGCUUGUUCAACUACUGCUGCUGGUUCAAAGCGAGAAAUUGAUGUAUCAUUCGAAGUAAAUAUAGUUUGGAAGUAAGAAGUUAUCUCCUGAACUAUAUGUGACUCCUCAUACAAGGCAACACCAGCAUCAUUCUCUAAGACAGUAAUGCGAUUCCUGGCUCUUUUCCCUUUGCAGAUUGCAUGAAAAUAACCUGAGUUUCUAUCUCCAGCU